CGGGACGGGUGAGUAAUGUCUGGGAAACUGCCUGAUGGAGGGGGAUAACUGCUGGAAACGGUAGCUAAUACCGCGUAACGUCGCAAGACCAAAGAGGGGACCUUCGGGCCUCUUGCCAUCGGAUGUGCCCAGAUGGGAUUAGCUAGUAGGUGGGGUAACGGCUCACCUAGGCGACGAUCCCUAGCUGGUCUGAGAGGAUGACCAGCCACACUGGAACUGAGACACGGUCCAG
rnacentral:rRNA from 1 species